GGAAGUCUGGCCGAGUUGGUCAAGGCAUCGGUCUGAAAAACCGACAAUCUCAGUUCGAUUCUGAGGGCUUCCACCA
rnacentral:tRNA from 1 species